CGGUGGGUUAUUCACCAAAAUUCACCUUUUUUCACCCAAAAUCUGCGUUUUCUGACCCGAAAUCCAAAUUCUGCAACCCAAAAUCCCCCGGGGCUGUGCCUGGUGCGCCACUGCCGGUGGGUUCUGAACCAAAAUCAUCCUUUUUUCACCCAAAAUUCACCUCUUCUGACCCAAAAUCAUCCUGUGCUGUGCCUGGUGCGCCACUGCCGGUGGGUUAUUCACCAAAAUCUGCAUUUUCUGUCCCAAAAUCUGCAUUUUCUGACCCGAAAUCCAAAUUCUGCCACCCAAAAUCCCCCGGGGCUGUGCCUGGUGCGCCACUGCCGGUGGGUUCUGAACCAAAAUCACCCCUUUUUCACCCAAAAUCCACCUCUUCUGACCCAAAAUCAUCCCCUUUUCACCCAAAAUCUGCAUUUUCUGACCCAAAAUUCACCUUUUUUCACCCAAAAUUCACCUCUUCUGACCCAAAAUCCAAAUUCUGCAACCCAAAAUCCCCCGGGGCUGUGCCUGGUGCGCCACUGCCGGUGGGUUAUUCACCAAAAUUCACCUUUUUUCACCCAAAAUCUGCGUUUUCUGACCCGAAAUCCAAAUUCUGCAACCCAAAAUCNNNNNNNNNNNNNNNNNNNNCGGGCGCGGCCGGAUUUGGGGUCAGGGUUUGGGGUCAGGAUUUGGGAUUUGGGUCAGGAAUUGGGAUCAGGAUCAGGAUUUGGGGUCAGGAUUUGGGAUUUGGGUCAGGAUUUGGGAUCAGGAUCAGGAUUUGGGUCAGGAUUUGGGAUUUGGGGUCAGGAUUUGGGAUCAGGAUUUGGGAUUUGGGUUGGAUUUGGGGUCAGAAUUUGGGAUUUGGGAUCAGGUGGAGUCCCCCCCGCGGGUGGAGCUGGUGCCGGAGUCGCCGGGCGCGGCCGAGUCUCCGCGCGGCCGCUGCGUCCGGGCCGGCUGCGAGAACGCGCCCGUGGCCAGCGGGGACUGGGACGAGGAGUUCUGCAGCAGCGAGUGCCUGGUGCGCCACUGCCGGGACGUUUUCCUGGCCUGGCUCGCCUCCCGCAACGCCGGCGUCGUUUUCGUCAAGUGAGGCUCCGCCCCCUCCUUUUGGGGCAUUUUCAGCCGAUUUCGACAUUUCCCAAAAAUCCCCAAAAUUGGGGAAAUUCCCAAUUAAAAAAAUUUGGAUCAAAAAAUCAAAAAUUUGGGGUUUUUUUUUGUUUAUUUUUAAUCUUUUUCGUUGGGUUUUGAUUUUGGGAGUUUUUACCCCAAAAUUUGGGUGGGAAAAGAAUUAAAAAUAAUUUAAAAAAUUUAAAAAAAAAUAAAUUUAAAUAAAUUAUUUAAAUUUAAAUAAUU
rnacentral:lncRNA from 1 species